rnacentral:rRNA from 1 species
CUCGUUUUAACGUCUCGCAAUAACANCCCGCGCAGAAAACGCCGCCGCCGCAGCGNGUCGCUUGGCCUUUUCCCGUCCGGCACGAAAACUUGAACGAACGAACGAACAAACGAUCGGCGCGGCGUAGGCACCGCACCAACGACGAGCAAGCACGGUUGGAUCGAGACUUGCUGUGCCGCGUUGUGAAGAAGGGUCGGAAGAAAGAAAGAAAGAAAGAUUGAAAGAACAAAAAAAAACAUAUCCCCCGGAUGACCGAAAGGGAAUCGGGUUAAUAUUCCCGAACCCGGAUGCGGAGAUCGGCCUCUCGGGGCCCAUUGCGGUAACGCAAACGAACUCGGAGAAGUCGGCGGGAGUCCCGGGAAGAGUUGUCUUUUCUUUGUAAGGGACGGACUCCCUGGAAUCGGCUCGCCCGGAGAGAGGGAUGUUGUUCCCGUAAAGCACCGCGGCUCUUGCGGUGUCCGGAGCACUCCCGCCGGCCCUUGAAAAUCCGAGGGAGAGAAAAUGAUUUUCGCACCGGACCGUACCCAUAUCCGCAGCA